rnacentral:rRNA from 1 species
AUUGAACGCUGGCGGCAUGCCUUACACAUGCAAGUCGAACGGCAGCACGGGGGCAACCCUGGUGGCGAGUGGCGAACGGGUGAGUAAUACAUCGGAACGUGCCCAGUAGUGGGGGAUAGCCCGGCGAAAGCCGGAUUAAUACCGCAUACGACCUACGGGUGAAAGCGGGGGAUCGCAAGACCUCGUGCUACCGGAGCGGCCGAUGUCGGAUUAGGUAGUUGGUGGGGUAACGGCCUACCAAGCCNGCGAUCCGUAGCUGGUCUGAGAGGAUGAUCAGCCACACUGGGACUGAGACACGGCCCAGACUCCUACGGGAGGCAGCAGUGGGGAAUAUUGGACAAUGGGGGCAACCCUGAUCCAGCAAUGCCGCGUGAGUGAAGAAGGCCUUAGGGUUGUAAAG